GGAGGGUUAGGGGGGUUUGGAUGGAUAGGCGGGUUAGGAGGGUUAGGAGGGUUAGGCGGGUUAGGAGGGUUAGGAGGGUUAGGAGGUUAGGGGGUUAGGAGGGUUAGGAGGGUUUAGGAGGGUUAGGAGGGUUAGGAGGGUUAGGGGGUUUAGGAGGGUUAGGCGGGUUAGGAGGGUUAGGAGGUUUAGGAGGGUUAGGAGGGUUAGGAGGUUUAGGAGGGUUAGGCGGGUUAGGAGGGUUAGGAGGGUUAGGAGGGUUAGGGGGUUUAGGAGGGUGUAAAUAAUAGACAGCCCGUUAACAACAGCAACAUCAUAUGUUUGUAAAGGAUUAAUCAAAUGAAGC
ensembl:lncRNA